rnacentral:tRNA from 1 species
UCCUCUGUGGCGCAAUUGGCUAGCGCGUCUGACUGUUAAUCAUCUUCAUAUCUUGAUAUUAAGAUGCAGCGAUCAGGAGGUUGACAGUUCAAGCCUGUCCGGAGGAG